GUUUUAAUAAUUUAAAUAAAAUAUUAGUCUUGUAAACUAAAAAUAAGAAACUCUUUUAAAACU
rnacentral:tRNA from 1 species